ACCCAGAGACGGGAGUUCUUCAGUUCGGCUGGACCGGAGACAGGUGCUGCAUGGCUGUCGUCAGCUCGUGUCGUGAGAUGUUGGGUUAAGUCCCGCAACGAGCGCAACCCUCGCCCUUAGUUGCCAUCAUUUAGUUGGGCACUCUAAGGGGACUGCCGGUGAUAAGCCGGAGGAAGGUGGGGAUGACGUCAAGUCCUCAUGGCCCUUACAGGCUGGGCUACACACGUGCUACAAUGGCGGUGACAGAGGGAUGCAAAGGAGCAAUCCUUAGCAAAUCUCAAAAAGCCGUCUCAGUUCGGAUUGUGCUCUGCAACUCGAGCACAUGAAGUUGGAAUCGCUAGUAAUCGCAGAUCAGCACGCUGCGGUGAAUACGUUCCCGGGCCUUGUACACACCGCCCGUCACACCAUGGGAGUUGGCUUUACCUGAAGGCGGUGCGCUAACCCGCAAGGGAGGCAGCCGACCACGGUAGGGUCAGCGACUGGGGUGAAGUCGUAACAAGGUAGCCGU
rnacentral:rRNA from 1 species